UACGUAGGUAGCGAGCGUUAUUCGGAUUCACUGGGCGUAAAGGGUCCGCAGGAGGCCUGUCAAGUCGGAUGUGAAAGCCCGGGGCUCAACCCUGGAAAGUCAUCCGAAACUGCCGGGCUCGAGUGCAUGAGGGGUAGACGGAAUUCCUGGUGUAGCGGUGGAAUGCGUAGAUAUCAGGAGGAACACCGAUGGCGAAGGCGGUCUACUGGCAUGCAACUGACUCUCAGGGACGAAAGCGUGGGGAG
rnacentral:rRNA from 1 species